UACAGAGGGGGCAAGCGUUGUUCGGAAUUACUGGGCGUAAAGGGCGCGUAGGCGGCCCGCUAAGUCGAACGUGAAAUCCCUGGGCUCAACCCAGGAACUGCGUCCGGUACUGGCAGGCUUGAAUCCGGGAGAGGGAUGCGGAAUUCCAGGUGUAGCGGUGAAAUGCGUAGAUAUCUGGAGGAACACCGGUGGCGAAGGCGGCAUCCUGGACCGGCAUUGACGCUGAGGCGCGAAAGCCAGGGGAGCAAACGGG
rnacentral:rRNA from 1 species